GAACAGGCCUGUGUCCAUGGAUUAGAUUCUCCUCCACCAUCUUCACUUGCUGCCACUUCGUGAUGCAAGUCUCCCUCAAAUGUCUGCAAAGUUUUUGAACAGGAAAUUCCUCCAUGAUCUGUUCAUGCGAGAGGUGGAGAGAGAAGUUGGGACUUUUUUUGCUGACCUGUGGAUCCUGUUGCUGAUUCCUCUCUGGCGAUCUUCUUUCUUGCCGCUCGUCGGGUGAGAUCUGUCCAGUGGUUUGCGGGAGGGGUUUGGCCCUUUUUCGUGCGUUGCAAGUUGGGCACAUGUUGUGUGGGCCUGGAGGUCGGGGUAGGUCCCUGAUUUUUCUGGAGUGGG